rnacentral:rRNA from 1 species
GACGAACGCUGGCGGCGUGCUUAACACAUGCAAGUCGAACGGAAAGGCCCUGCUUUUGUGGGGUGCUCGAGUGGCGAACGGGUGAGUAACACGUGAGUAACCUGCCCUUGACUUUGGGAUAACUUCAGGAAACUGGGGCUAAUACCGGAUAGGAGCUCCUGCUGCAUGGUGGGGAUUGGAAAGUUUCGGCGGUUGGGGAUGGACUCGCGGCUUAUCAGCUUGUUGGUGGGGUAGUGGCUUACCAAGGCUUUGACGGGUAGCCGGCCUGAGAGGGUGACCGGCCAAAUUGGGACUGAGAUACGGCCCAGACUCCUACGGGAGGCAGCAGUGGGGAAGAUUGCACAAUGGGCGGAAGCCUGAUGCAGCAACGCCGCGUGCGGGAUGACGGCCUUCGGGUUGUAUACCGCUUUCGCCUGUGACGAAGCGUGAGUGACGGUAAUGGGUAAAGAAGCACCGGCUAACUACGUG